ACCCAACGAACCCGAUAAGUCUAUCUGUUCUCCUCCAUUUCUGGUCCAUUUGCUCUCUCCUCAAUUACCGUAAUACCAGAAAGAAACGUCUCUCUCUCUCUCUCUCUCUCUCUCAGAAGAACUUAAAGAAUUUGCAGCGCCUUUCUCGUAUGCUUCUUCGUUAUCUGUAGAACAGAAAAAAGAACGCUUAAAGUAUGGCUUCCUCCGUCCAGCAGCUUCUUCCGGCCACCCCAACUUCUGUUGUUCCGCCCAAGUCCACCCACCAUACUACAUUGUUUGGCCUUGGAUCAUGCUCUACAAUGGGCAAGCUCAAGCAAUAUCACUCCCAGAUCAUCCGGUUUGGCCUCUUGCAUGAAAAUGAUGCCAUGGGCCGAGUAAUCAAGUUUUGUGCCAUCUCCAAAUCCGGAGAUUUAAGAUAUGCCCUCAGAGCGUUUCAUAUGAUGCCCCACCCAGAUGCAUUCAUUUACAAUGUUAUUAUUAGAGGUCACUUGCAACACCAGUUAACUAGAGAUUGCAUUUUAUUUUAUUUGCAGAUGUUACGAGAAUCUGUUACACCCAAUAGAUUUACUUUCCCUUCUGUUAUAAGAGCUUGUUGCGUUGACUACGCUGUUGAAGAAGGUAAAAAAGUCCACGCGCAUGUUUUGAAAUUCGGGUUUGGAUCAGAUGGGGUUAUCCAGAACAAUUUGAUUCAUAUGUAUAUGAAUUUUCAGUCUUUGGAGGACGCAAGACAGGUCUUUGAUUGGAUGCCUCAUCGAGAUAUUGUCUCCUGGACCACUUUGAUCAGCGGAUAUUCUCAUUGGGGAUGUGUUGAUGAAGCUUUUGAAGUUUUUGAGUUGAUGCCCGAGAGGAAUUCAGUUUCUUGGAAUACCAUGAUAGCAGCUAAUGUCAGAAGUAACCGUUUUCAAGAGGCGUUUGCUCUGUUUGAUAGGAUGCGGUCCGAGAAGGUGGUACUGGAUAAGUACGUGGCAGCUAGUAUGUUAUCAGCUUGUACUGGGUUGGGAGCUGUGAAACAAGGGGAGUGGAUACAUGGGUAUAUCGACAAGAAUGGCAUCAAAUUGGACUCAAAACUUGCUACAGCUAUUAUUGAUAUGUACUGCAAAUGUGGUUACAUAGAUAAGGCGUUUGAAGUCUUCAACGGGUUAGCCCACAAAGGAAUGUCCUCAUGGAAUUCCAUGAUUGGAGGGCUGGCGUUGCAUGGGAAAGGAAUGGCCGCCAUUGAGCUUCUGAAAGAAAUGGAGAGACAGGCAAUGGUAGCCCCUGACUUUAUCACUUUUGUGAAUGUGCUUAGUGCAUGUGCUCAUUCAGGGUUAGUGGAAGAAGGGCGCCAUUACUUUCGUUACAUGACUGAAGUUCACGGCAUUGAGCCCGGAUCUGAGCAUUUUGGAUGCAUGGUAGAUAUACUCGGAAGAGCUGGACUGCUGGAGGAAGCCAGAGACCUUAUCAAUAAAAUGCCCAUGAUUCCUGAUGCAAGUGUUUUGGGUGCUCUCCUUGGAGCUUGCAGAAUCCACGGGGAAAUAGAGUUGAGAGAGCAAAUAGGGCAAAAUGUUAUUGAACUAGAGCCUCAUAAUAGUGGCCGCUAUGUGCUAUUAGCCAACAUAUACGCCGAUGCAGGUAGAUGGGAAGAUGUUGCUACCGUGAGGAAGCUGAUGAACGACAGGGGAGUGAAGAAAGCUCCUGGCUUUUCCAGGAUUGAAUUGGAAGGUGUCGUUAAUGAGUUCAUUGCAGGAGGAAGGGCUCAUCCUCAAGCUCAAGAGAUAUAUGCGAAACUGGAUGAGGUGUUGGAAAACGUUAGAAAGGUUGGCUACGUGUCCACUACAGAUGGGGUUGUGCAUGAUAUUGAGGAGGAGGAGGAGGAGGAGGAAAGGGAGAAGCUAUUGUACUACCACAGUGAGAAACUUGCUAUUGCCCUUGGGUUGUUGAAGACUAAACAUGGAGAAACUCUUCAUAUCACAAAAAACUUGCGGGUCUGUAAAGACUGUCACACGGUGAGCAAGCUCAUCUCAAAGAUAUAUGAUCGAGAAAUAAUUGUAAGGGAUAGGAGUCGGUUCCACCAUUUUAGAGGGGGAGACUGCUCUUGUAAUGAUUACUGGUAAUGUUUGGUGGGACUAAUGAGGUCGGGAAUAAUACAUGGUUGUUAUCAGAUCUGGUUUUGUGGAUAUGGCUUCUAAGUCUAUUAUUGGAAAAUUAGCCGAGAAUUUCUCCUGUGGAUGGCAGUUAUCUACUGUCGGGUUCAUAUGCAUCUACGAUCCAGAGGGAGAUGCCUCAAGAUCCUUCAAAUUCCCAUGAGUGACCCAAGAGUGAAGUUACUGAUAAGAUGGUAGAGAAGCACGCUGAAUCCCUCACCAAGAUCAUUGUCUUGGACAUUGGCCACUUUUUGGAAAUCACAUCCAAAGGCCUUCAAUCCUUUGCCAAGCGAUACAAAUCCCUAUCUCACUUGAAAAGGAAGAUGUCCCCUAAAUGGGAGAGGCCUGCAACAGGUUCAGCUUCAUUAGGGUGGAUGAAGAACAAUGACUAGGCUCCACCAACUCAAAUGCUGUUUUGGCUAAUUUGGUGACCAUGGGCUCCAGGCUCUCGGUUGAAUCUUUCCAAAUCAGUUGUGUAGCUUACCCAUAUAGGUUUUGUAUUCUUUGGCAGACCAGAAGUAAAGUCGAAUUCUUCAUCUUUUUGGGGUGGUUUUACCCCAAAACUUCUUCCUCUUUUUUGUGUUCAAAAUCAUAGGCAUGACAAAUCUCAAUUUGAAUGAAUGUAUCUCCUCGCAUUUAUAGU